rnacentral:rRNA from 1 species
CCUGCCAGAGGUCACUGCUAUCGGUGUUCGACUAAGCCAUGCGAGUCAAAUGUUCUUCGUGAACAUGGCGUACUGCUCAGUAACACGUGGAUAACCUGCCCUUAGGUCUGGCAUAACCCCGGGAAACUGGGGAUAAUUCCGGAUAGAUCAUAGAUGCUGGAAUGCGCUGUGAUCCAAAGCUAUUGUGCCUAAGGAUGGGUCUGCGGUCUAUCAGGUUGUAGUGGGUGUAAUGUACCUACUAGCCUACGACGGAUACGGGUUGUGGGAGCAAGAGCCCGGAGAUGGAUUCUGAGACAUGAAUCCAGGCCCUACGGGGCGCAGCAGGCGCGAAAACUUUACAAUGCGGGGAACCGCGAUAAGGGGACACCGAGUGCCAGCAUCCUAUGUUGGCUGUCCAUAUGUCUAAAUCACAUGUGUUAGCAAGGGCCGGGCAAGACCGGUGCCAGCCGCCGCGGUAACACCGGCGGCCC